rnacentral:rRNA from 1 species
GUGGAGAGAGAGAGCGAUAGCGAGAGGCGACCGUCGCGCGCCGCUUUCAGAAGGGGCGACGCGCGUUGGGGCAAGUCUGGCCCCUAGCCCCGUAAUUUUGAAGGAAGGAUGGUAGUCAGUUGAGAGGAGGAGGGGGAGGAGGAGGUCAGGAGGUGACACAACACAUAUAUGAUGAGGAUGAGGCGAACUGGACUGGACUGAUCACCACUCGGGCCCCCGCUCGCACCUUGAAGGCUCUUGAGCUCAGGCUUAACGCUCUCUGCCGCUGGUGCCCGUCCCGACCAACGUGUUCGAGGGCUCGAACACCACUAACAACGCGGAGGGCCCCUUCUCACCACCUUUGUUGCUCCACCUUCGCCGGUCCCUUGUUGCCCUUUCCACAUGCACGAUGAUGGUUGGUUGGUUGUACGGUGUUAUUCCAUGGUUGUUAGUCAUGGAAUAAUCAUGAUGAUGAGAUGCAGAAACAGGGUCAUCUAAUUAAGACCUACUCGUUCUGUUUCCCUAGGGUUGUUAGUGACGGAAGGCUAAACAAACAAAGAGAUUAGCGGGUUGAGGGGUUUAUUUAAGGAGGGAUAAAUCGGUUAUCCGGUUUUGCGGAUAAACGGAUGACUACUAAAGUUACAAAGUUGGCGCUUCCGUCAUCAUGCACCACGUUAGAACGGGGACGUAAAGAACGAGAACAAGUGGUCGGUUAGAAUAAAAAGUGUGUUUGUUGUCGAUUAGAAUAAACAUACACCACGACGUUGACAUAAAGAACGUCAUGGAACAGGAAAUGCAAAGAAGUCUAAACAAAGUGUGGUGCCUAUGUACAGUAAGUGCAAGUUACCUGAAACUUAAAAAAAUCGGUCUAAGACCUGGAGCAUAAUGUCGUAUUUUUCUGUAGAAAUCGUCCGUAUAGUAAAACCACCAUCGACCAUCUAUCGAUGGCGGACCUUUAUAACACCAGACCCACUACGGGAACCAGAAAGAACAAACUACCGUUCACGAUUGUGUUCGCCCAAAGCGGAACACUCCACGGGUUUCACAGAAUUGUAAGAUGGUCUUGGACGUUUACAAAGUCAGAUGGUCACGCCACCUACAUUGUGGUGAGAAUCUCGAUUUUAGGCACAGUCGCUACGGUGGUUUGUUCAAGCCGUUCUGAGACCCCUAAUGAGAGAACAAGGGAGACACUCGUUACCCCACAGCUGUUUUGUUCAAGCCGUUCUGAGACCAUUAAUGAGACAACAAUGGAGACACUCGUUACCCCACAGAGGGGUUUCGUUGUUUGACCCAAGAUAACUACGACGACGCCUACUGAGGUAGUGCGAACCACGAGGUUCGUGGCUCUAGCUCGUUCUCACGUUACCGUGGCCUUCGUCGCUGUUCCCACUAUAAUACAGUCUACUCCUCUUACAAUACCUCCAACGUUUAUGGCCGCUUCUGCCGUCAAGACUACCCGUCCUGUGGUUACCUCUUUACCUUCUAGAACGACGGGAAUAUGUUGGGUCAGCGUCACCCUUACCGUGUGUCUAUCAUCUAAGACUGUUUCUUCUCUUGCCGUGCCACCUCGUUUCACGUCUCUUAAGUCUCCGAACGUUUUAUUUGCUUCUACCACUAUACCUUUCGUCGGACUCAUGGAGUCUCGUCUUGUACGGCAAUAGACUCCUAUCUCUUAAUCGAUCGUUAAACGGUCUUAGACUCUCACCUCGUGCGGUUUGACUUGGGCUUGGACACCGUUCGUCCUCUUCGUUCGAGCAUUCCCACGUAAGAGCCAGAACACUAGAGGCUCUUCACGGACCUCAUAGUCGACUGCGGGAACGAAAGGUGAGAAGGGCCUGAAGUAAGGUCAGUUUUUCGAAGUCCCGUUCGCUUGGGGAAGUUAGCUUCUAAUACUUCUGCCACCUACUUAACUUUCCACUGGAAAGACUUUAGAAGUUACUUGGAAGUCUAAUGUUCGGUUCCCGUGUGGCAGGUGUAGGCGACUUUGUUCUACCAAUGUCGGUUGGAGAAUGUCGAAUAGUAGGACGACAGUUCGUAAGACCGAUACGUAGAGCGGACUCAUCCAGACCGGUUCAACGAGGGGUACCGGUACCUGACGGGAAUGGCGCCAUACCAGCCGCGCCGCGGAUAAGUAUAUAAGCGUCACCCGUUGACCUUUACUCUGGAACGGGAGUGGUUACGAUGGUGUCGACGGCGGGUGGAACAACGUCGAGGACCUUUGUUCUUGGACGUGGCGUCUUCGGUGGUUUCGCCACCGGACGGAGCUCUUUAGAGACGGCCGGUCAGAAUGCCCCGCGCGGCAAGCAGGAAACGAGGUUGACAGACUCCGAGGAGGUCGACGGGUGGCUAAAACGGUAAGGCUCGUCUCCUUGUGCGUCCGACGUCACACCGAGGACACGCGUCCAAGAGAGGAUGAGAAUGUCUCUGGGGUUGUCUUUCUUUGAACUCAGUGGUAAACUCCCACUACUCACGUCGUGUCUACUGAGCCUUUAAGUGGUCCAUCCACUGCUGGUAUUGUGACCAUGGGUGGUUCGACUUGGUAUGAGGAUGAGCAUGAGCCUUCUUAUGCCAUAGAGCCGACCACACUCGAUAAGAUGGCUCCUGCUUUCCGGGGACGUACACAGUUCCUUGAACAGAAAAUUGUGGUAACUACUUUCUUCACCGUUCCUCAGAUUCGAAGUAGCCAACUACCCAAUGAGAAGUCGCUCACUUGACUACGCCGUAAGAGGACUAGAGAUACUCUCAAAGUCGUCUGCUUGCGGAUUAAGUUCUUGUGUACUGCACUUCCCCUUUCCGCGAACGUACUGACUGCCAAGUCUACGAUUUGUACCACGUCACUUCCCUAGUUUUCGUUUUCUCUCUUCUUACCCGAACGGUAAGGUUCCCUACAAGUUCUUUCCCUAAGUACCUGACCUUCGAGAGUUCGAGCCCGGUAUCCAUUAAAUUGAAGCAAAGAGUCCUAACCGCUCAAAUCCUCUUUCAUAUGCACGUCCCACUCAAAAACCUUACUACUAUUUCUCACUAUCCAUAACGACAUCUGAGAUCACCAUUCGUAAGAUUACUUACACACCCGUGUGAAUCAACAGACGGUAAGUAGACAGAUGUUCCGAUGAACAAACCGCUAAUACACACGAGAAACUACACACAUAUCAAAGAUCUCUAGUUUAAGAGCUGCAAACACUAACAUACAUAUGUGCUUCCUUAAACACGUAAUAAUCAAGAGGUAAAACAACCCAAAGUAGAACUACUCCUCUACAACACGGAAAAAAAGUGGCUAUUCUGUUGACUCAGGAACUUAAACAACCGAA